UCCCCGUUACCGGGGCAGUCUGAAUAGAAAAAUACAACUAUUCACAAGGGUUGCGCUCGUUGAUGGACUUAACCAAACAUCUCACGACACGAGCUGACGACGGCCAUGCAGCACCUGUCACUUGGUUCCAAAAGGCACACUCUACUUUCGUAGUGCUUCCAAGGAUGUCAAGUCCUGGUAAGGUUCUUCGUUUAACAUCGAAUUAAAGAACAUGAUCCACCGCUUGUGCUGAUCCCCGUCAAUUCCUUUAUGUUUUAAUCUUGCGACCGUACUCCCCAGGCGGUCGACUUCACGCGUUAGCUGCGGUACUAAGGAAGUCUCCUUCCCCAACACCUAGUCGACAUCGUUUAGGGCGUGGACUAC
rnacentral:misc_RNA from 1 species